rnacentral:rRNA from 1 species
AUUGAACGCUGGCGGCAGGCCUAACACAUGCAAGUCGAGCGGAUGAAGGGAGCUUGCUCCUGGAUUCAGCGGCGGACGGGUGAGUAAUGCCUAGGAAUCUGCCUGGUAGUGGGGGAUAACGUCCGGAAACGGGCGCUAAUACCGCAUACGUCCUGCGGGAGAAAGUGGGGGAUCUUCGGACCUCACGCUAUCAGAUGAGCCUAGGUCGGAUUAGCUAGUUGGUGGGGUAAAGGCCUACCAAGGCGACGAUCCGUAACUGGUCUGAGAGGAUGAUCAGUCACAUUGGAACGUAGACACGGUCCAGACUCCUACGGGAGGCAGCAGUGGGGAAUAUUGGACAAUGGGCGAAAGCCUGAUCCAGCCAUGCCGCGUGUGUGAAGAAGGUCUUCGGAUUGUAAAGCACUUUAAGUUGGGAGGAAGGGCAGUAAGUUAAUACCUUGCUGUUUUGACGUUACCAACAGAAUAAGCACCGGCUAACUUCGUG